rnacentral:piRNA from 1 species
UGAGUGUGUAACCUUGGUAAAUUCUGGA